UACGUAGGGGGCAAGCGUUGUCCGGAAUCAUUGGGCGUAAAGCGCGCGUAGGCGGCUCGAUCAGUCUGCUGUGAAAGUCAAAGGCUCAACCUUUGAAUGCCGGUGGAUACUGUCGAGCUAGAGUCCGGAAGAGGCGAGUGGAAUUCCUAGUGUAGCGGUGAAAUGCGCAGAUAUUAGGAGGAACACCAGUGGCGAAGGCGGCACUCUGGGCCAGUACUGACACUGAGGAGCGAAAGCGUGGGUAGCGAACAGG
rnacentral:rRNA from 1 species